AUAUUGGCCGAUAUGGUUCGGCUUUGUUUACGUCUUGGCCUUGUUUGUGUAUGGGUAUGAUAAGGGAAUGUUUCCAGGCUUUUGGUUUUUGACCGUUUAUCCAAGCUGUAUUAUAAAGUUUUAGUAGUUGGCUUAUUAAUGGUUUUGGGGCGUUUAUAACAUGAUAUAGCUGAUAUAGACAUCGUUUAUGUUACUUACCUAGCUUAUAUAGUUACAUAUGUAUCCGUGAGAAGAAAUGUGACAAAUCUGAUUCAAAUCUAGUUAACUUUUCUCAUUUCAACAACAACAGUUGUGUACUUCCGCCUGUAUCUGUAUCAUUGAGAAGGAAAUGUGACAAAUCUAACUCAAACUCAAACUCUUUUCUCAUUUCAACAACAAUAGCACUCAUGUCUUCUCCCUCGUUAAUUAGAGUAGAGCGGAUUAGCGCAGUCUUUCUGCUGUUCUCAGGUUCAUGUUCUCCAAGGCAGUCGACACUCCUGGUGUUAUUAGAGCAGUGUUGAGCAUUGCCACGCUCCACUGCUUUUCGACAGUCCGGAUUCAGUUUACAAGAGAAAGCAAGCCAUCAGAAAAGCUCUAGAACUUGAAGCAUCGUCCUAGGUCGUGCAUACACUUCAGUACUGGUUCCCUUACAUCCCAUCAUGCCUGCUGGUGUGACCUGGGGCCGGUACCUGCGCUUCACAACCGCGGCCAUGUUGUCCAUGUUUGCUGGGUCUCAGAC